CGGACGGGCUUAAAAAUCUUUGCCCGACAAUAUGCUACUGUGUGAUGUGAGUGUCUCUGAGUUUUUAGUUUCCUCUUCAGAAAAAUGAGGGAAACAGUACCACCUCUGCAGAGGUCUCUAACAGAAUUACCACUCUUGGGCUAUGCUUUUCAUUUAUAAAUGAAAGAAAAGAAAAAGGUGGCUUGGCAGAGUGCACAUUCUACUACCUACAUUACACUUUGAGAGGAUUAUAUCAUUGGUAAUUGUCAUCAUCCCAGUGAUCUCAAGGACUCAACUGAGGAAGUCCCCAACAGAGACUAAGCACUAUACAAUACUGAAGGAGAAUGAACAAGGCUGAACCUUACCGUAUUGAGCUAGGAAAAAUUCACAUGCUAAUGAAAAAAAAGAAGAAGCCAGGUAACUUAAGGAAGGAUACUACAGUACAACAGCACUCAGGAAAGGAAGAGGAUGGAACUCCAGGGGCGCAAAAGAAAAAAAAAAUAACAAAAUAAAAUAAAAAGACAAAAAGAAGAUAAACCUCAGAUAAAAUGAAGAAAAAAGUCUUGACUUAGAAAAAAAAAGGGCACAUGAAAUAAUAUUAGAAACAAAAUGCUACAGAAAUAGCAGUAUUUAAAAUUAAUAAGAAAAAUAAAUGCAUGGCUCUCAAAUUCUUUGACACCCCUUUCAUUGACAGGUGGGGUCUAUUUUCCUUCCGCUGACUCUGGGUGGGCUUGUGACUGCUUUGAUCAGUAGAAUAUAGUGGAAGUGAUGCUACAUCAGAAAGCCAUAUGGCUUUCACCUACCACCAUUGGGAUAUUCAUCUCAGGGAAAGCAGCUGCCUUAUAAGGAAUCUGACUGCCUUGAGAUCAGUCUCACCGCCAUCAUGGCGCCAUCUCACUCUCAUCAUGGUGAUGAGAGUCACACAGAGGUGCUCUGAUCAGUAGCGCCCACUGAGCUCCCAGAUAACAGCCAACAUCAACUACCGACUUGGUGAGCAAGCCAACUUGAGCAUCCACACACAGUCGGUCCUUCAGGUGACUGCAGUCCCAGCCAACACCUGACUGCAACUGUAUAGGACACCCCAUGUGAGAACGGCCCACCCAAGCCCUUCCCAAAUUCCUAGCCCACAAAAUUGUGAGAUAAAUAAAAUGAU